rnacentral:rRNA from 1 species
GCAACGCCUGCCCAGUGAAUAAUUAAACGGCCGCGGUAUCCUAACCGUGCAAAGGUAGCAUAAUCACUUGUCUACUAAUUAUAGACCAGCAUGAAUGGCAAAAUGAGGGCCUAACUGUCUCUUAUAAUCAAUCAAUUAAACUGAUCUACUAGUAAAAAAGCUAGAAUACCAACAUAAGACCAGAAGACCCUGUGAAGCUUAAACUAAACUAUUAAACCACAUAAUAACUAAUUUCGGUUGGGGCGACCUUGGAAAUAAGAAAAACUUCCAAACACCAUGACAUACAUCAUAAGCCCAGGCCCACAAGCCAACACAAGACCCAGUUAAAACUGACAAAUGAACCAAGUUACUCCAGGGAUAACAGCGCAAUCUUCUUCAAGAGCCCAUAUCAAAAAGAAGGUUUACGACCUCGAUGUUGGAUCAGGACAUCCUAUUGGUGCAGCCGCUAUUAAGGGUUCGUUUGUUCAACGAUUAACAGUCCUACGUGAUCUGAGUUCGGCCCGGAUUAAUCGUUGAACAAACGAACCUUAAUACGGYUGCACAAUAGGAUGUCUGAUCCAACAUCGAGGUGUAAACCUUCUUUUGAUAUGGGCUCUUGAAGAAAAUGCCUGUUAUCCUGGARUAACUUGGGUUAUUUGUCA